UCCCUUUCAGGGUUGCACCUGGAGAAUUUCCAGUACUCUACCAGUCUCCACUACGAAAGGGAGAGUCAAACAGAGGCAUAUCCACUCCAUUCCUAGCUUAGGCAGUGGCUAGCAAGUGGAAGGCAAUCUGUUACAAGU